AGCGAACGCUGGCGGCAGGCCUAACACAUGCAAGUCGAACGGACCCUUCGGGGUUAGUGGCGGACGGGUGAGUAACACGUGGGAACGUGCCUUUAGGUUCGGAAUAGCUCCUGGAAACGGGUGGUAAUGCCGAACGUGCCCUUCGGGGGAAAGAUUUAUCGCCUUUAGAGCGGCCCGCGUCUGAUUAGCUAGUUGGUGAGGUAAUGGCCCACCAAGGCGACGAUCAGUAGCUGGUCUGAGAGGAUGACCAGCCACAUUGGGACUGAGACACGGCCCAAACUCCUACGGGAGGCAGCAGUGGGGAAUCUUGCGCAAUGGGCGAAAGCCUGACGCAGCCAUGCCGCGUGAAUGAUGAAGGUCUUAGGAUUGUAAAAUUCUUUCACCGGGGACGAUAAUGACGGUACCCGGAGAAGAAGCCCCGGCUAACUUCGUGCCAGCCGCCGCGGUAAGAC
rnacentral:rRNA from 1 species